CAGCUAUUUACGAAUGGGGCCUACGCCAAAUACAAACAUACAGCUUGCUGGGUCAUAAAUAAAUAUGCUGAACACGUCACUCGCCACCACCCACCCCUCCACCACCAAGAUUGGCUCCUCCCUCAACAAUAACAAGCAUCUUCCCUCCAUCUCCCUUACCACCACAGGAUGUUCUUCCCCUCCAACCAUACCACCACCACCAGGAUGGUCCCUCCUAAAACGUCACGGGGGUCGGCUGCGCCCCUGCCUUCAUCUUCAGGCAGGAAAUACUGAAUCCGUACCCUCGGACAGCUAUUUACGAAUGGGGCCUACGCCAAAUACAAACAUACAGCUUGCUGGGUCAUAAAUAAAUGUAUGAAUUGUUUCAA